CAGCAGCAGCCACGGUAAUACGUAGGGUGCAAGCGUUAAUCGGAAUUACUGGGCGUAAAGCGUGCGCAGGCGGUUUUGUAAGACAGAGGUGAAAUCCCCGGGCUCAACCUGGGAACUGCCUUUGUGACUGCAAGGCUAGAGUACGGCAGAGGGGGAUGGAAUUCCGCGUGUAGCAGUGAAAUGCGUAGAUAUGCGGAGGAACACCGAUGGCGAAGGCAAUCCCCUGGGCCUGUACUGACGCUCAUGCACGAAAGCGUGGGGAGCAAACAGGAUUAGAUACCCCUGUAGUCCCUGUCUCUUAUAC
rnacentral:rRNA from 1 species